GCAGUUGGCGGUUUGCAAAACAAGUUCUAAAUAGUGUGGUGAUGUGGUGGAAGAAGACCUUGAUGAGUAAUUCAUAUAAAGUGUUGGAGUCUUCCUAAAAGUUAUUUUCCAACCAUAAAUUAAAUUGGAUUGAAUACAUGUAUUAACUGAGUUCCUCCUCUAUAAAAGACACUGUGAGAGAUACUAAAAUGAAUCUAAACACUGCCCUUAUUGCUACACACAAUGUCUUUUUCAUGCUAGAUGCUGAGAAGAUACAAGCGAGAAAGUGACCAUCUGCCAGCCAGGGUGGGAGCCAUCACUCGUCAGCCAUGCUGGGUUCUGACCUCAGACUGCCGGCACCCAGAACUAUGGGAAAAUAAGUUUAUGUUGUUUAAGCUUCCUAAUCUAUACUAUUUUGUUAUGGCAGCCUAAGCAAAUUAAAAUAAGGACCUUAUGCAUAAUCAAGGAGCUCCUUAUCUUAUGUUAAAGAAUCAUGUCACAUACCUUACAUAUUUCUAUAGAUAAAUAUACGCUUUCAUUUUCCUUUGCCUAAUAAAGUAUG